UACGUAGGGUGCAAGCGUUGUCCGGAAUUAUUGGGCGUAAAGAGCUCGUAGGCGGUCUGUCGCGUCGGCUGUGAAAACCCGAGGCUCAACCUCGGGCCUGCAGUCGAUACGGGCAAACUAGAGUACUGCAGGGGAGACUGGAAUUCCUGGUGUAGCGGUGAAAUGCGCAGAUAUCAGGAGGAACACCGGUGGCGAAGGCGGUUCUCUGGGCAUUUCCUGACGCUGAGAAGCGAAAGCGUGGGGAGCAAACAGG
rnacentral:rRNA from 1 species